rnacentral:lncRNA from 1 species
GGAAUAUUGACCCCUUAAGGACACAUGACAUGUCAUGAUUCCCUUUUAUUCCAGAAAUCUGGUCCUUAAGGGGUUAAACAAUUAAUCUGUCAGUAUUUCAGAACUGCUUGCAAAACAUAAUUGAAAGGAAGUCACAAGCUAUGACAGUUUCUAUGUAUCAGGAAAUGCCUAACCACAAUGUAUAUGUGAUAUUUUGUAAGAUUAGAUUAUUGAAUGUAACAGCAGAAACUGCUUCCUCUUUUAUGUAUCUUGUGUAACCUUUUUGUAACCUUUUGUAACCAAUAUUCGUGACAAGUAUAGUAUAAAUAUAGCGAAUCUUGAAUAAACGAUCAGAAGAUUAUGGAGAGCAAAAAGUGUGUGUCUGGUUAAUACGCUUCCAUAAAAAUCUUCCCUGAAUAUUCAGCUGACAAUCGAGGGUUGGAGAAUAGUGACCAGAGGGACCGAGUCACCAGAGUAGCAGAUUUACCUUUCAGCUUGGUGUCAGAAGUGGGAUUGUAGCCAAAACCAUUUUGGGUGAGUAGUAAUUCCUUGUGUCUAUCUUGACGCCCUGAAUCUAUGAUCCCCAUGGUUUUGUAAGUCUACAUCAUUUUAGGAAAGGUUAUUUAGUAUAUGUGUUUUCUGUGACUCAGUUUUACAUAAGGUCCCGUUAAAUUAGUCUAGUAAGGGAACUAGACAGAGAGAUAUAUGUAUUUCUAGUAAGUGAACUAGAGAAGGUCUAAUAAGAGAAUUGGACAGAUAAAGUCUAUAAAGUGAUAUAGACAGAGAAUUUAGUAUAUAAGUGAAUAUACUACGAUAGUGUGCACAGAGUUUCAGGUUCACCUUGUCCACCCUCUAAUUGUCAUUAGUUAAGUCUGGUUGUGAGUGUGAAUAAGUGUUUGAAAGAUUUGUCCUAGGAAUGGGAAAUUACCAUGUAAGAAUAUGAAGUAGUUAACUUUUCUUGUUCAUAUGUAUUUUAUGCUUAAAUAAGGUUUAUAAUCAGUAGUGCUGACUGUAAGGAUAUGAAAUAGUUAAACUAUUUUUGCUUUAUAUGCUAACCCUGAAAAUAUACUCACUGAGAAUCUUGUUAAAGCACAUUUGUAGUGUCCAUGUCUUUAUUGCAAACAAUGAUUCUCCAUCAAUUGGGUGAUUGUCUAUACUGGGGACACACUUUGGUAAGUUAGUAGUGUGUCCACCCUGAGUCAGCAGUAUGGGAAAUGUAAGUUCUGGUCCUGAGUGACCAAUAUAUAUACAUAUAUAUAUAAUAGCAGUACUGUAUAUUAGAAAAGAACUGACUUGCAGGUUGUACCUGAUAGACCUACUUAAAUCUUUUGCUUUAUUCUUUCUGUUGCAUAUAAGUAUAAGUUUAUUACUCUGUUGUAUUGUAAGUUAUUUCACAUGGGAUCUGUGUGCCUGGUAUGAUUGUUGCUUUAAUACCAUAAGCCCACUACACUUUCUAUGAGAGUGGGAUAGUGUAAAUGUGUUGCAUUGUUUGCAUGAUGAGCUCAGUAUUUUUAUAACUGAGACAAAAUGUCACUUCAUUAGUAUUUGAAAGUUAAUUCCCCAUAUGGGAUUAAUUGUAUAGAAUACCAAUCAGCACAUCUUCCCUGCCCUGUGUGUUUGUUGCAAAGGAUCCAUACUGUAAAUAUGAUUUUUGUUUGUUAAUAAGAGAGCAACAUUUACAUUUUCAGCGGUCCAACACAUGCUUCAUUUUGCGCUGUAAACUAACCUUUUUAUUGCAACAGAUUCCUUUUAAAUGAUCCAGUGUAAUAACUACUGCAUAUGUUUUGUGUCUUCUAUGUCUCACAUUAUAUGUGUUCUGUUCUUUUAAAUUGUGGUAUAUAGCCUGGAUCAGAGAUUAUGGACAAAGGUUUCUACCUGUUUUACUAAGGCUCUUGGAGGCUGACCGGUCUAAGGUUUGCCAUGCCUUUUAAACAUGGUAUAGAAUAAUUUUUUUUAAGUCUCUGAGAGUUCUGUAAGAUUCUGGUGAAACCAUGUCUGUGUAAUCUGGUCCAAAUGUUUGCUCAAUUUCUAUAAGAUUUAAGUUGAUGCAGUAUCAUCUCAGAUUAGUUAAUGGAAGUUUCAUACAAAUAUUUGAGUUAUGAGCGCGCUAUAUAAAUGGAUCCUUUCUCUAUAUACAAUAC